ACGGGAGGCAGCAGUGGGGGAUAUUGCACAAUUGGGGAAACCCUGAUGCAGCGACGCCGCGUGAGUGAUGAAGUAUUUCGGUAUGUAAAGCUCUAACAGCAGGAAAGAUGAUGACGGUACCUGACUAAGAAGCACCGGCUAAAUACGUGCCAGCAGCCGCGGUAAUACGUAUGGUGCAAGCGUUAUCCGGAUUUACUGGGUGUAAAGGGAGCGCAGACGGCAUGGCAAGCCAGAUGUGAAAGGCAGGGGCUCAACUCCUGGACUGCAUGUGGAACUGUCAAGCUAGAGUAUAGGAGAGGUAAGUGGAAUUCCUAGUGUAGCGGUGAAAUGCGUAGAUAUUAGGAGGAACACCAGUGGCGAAGGCGGCUUACUGGACGAUAACUGACGUUGAGGCUCGAAAGCGUGGGGAGCAAACAGGAUUAGAUACCCUGGUA
rnacentral:rRNA from 1 species